rnacentral:rRNA from 1 species
AUUGAACGCUGGCGGCGUGCCUAAUACAUGCAAGUCGAGCGGACUUACAAAAGCUUGCUUUUGUAAGUUAGCGGCGGACGGGUGAGUAACACGUGGGCAACCUGCCCUUGAGACUGGGAUAACUUCGGGAAACCGGAGCUAAUACCGGAUAAUAUAAAGAACCUCCUGGUUCUUUAUUGAAAGAUGGUUUCGGCUAUCACUUAAGGAUGGGCCCGCGGCGCAUUAGCUAGUUGGUGAGGUAACGGCUCACCAAGGCGACGAUGCGUAGCCGACCUGGGAGCGUACUCGGCCACACUGGGAGUGAGACACGGCCCAGACUCCUACGUGAGGCAGCAGUAGGGAAUCUUCCACAAUGGACGAAAGUCUGAUGGAGCAACGCCGCGUGAGUGGUGAAGGCCUUCGGGUCGUAAAGCUCUGUUGUUAGGGAAGAACAAGUGCGAGAGUAACUGCUCGCACCUUGACGGUACCUAACCAGAAAGCCAUGGCUAACUACGUGCCAGCCGCCGCCGUAAGAC